CUGUCAUGCCCAUAAAGCACCUUUGAAUUUAGUUGAAUUCAAUGUCUGCAUUUAUAUAGCAGAAAUAUGAAGUAACGUAAGAUAAAAAACACUUCAUGAAGUAGCCGAUUUAAAAUUUGUCUAGCUCCGCCUCUUCCUAUUAGUUCCCUCCUCAGUUAAUUGGCUCCUGUCUUUCACCUGUGCAUCUACCACCGCUAAGUGUAGACACCAUUUUGACUCUGAAAACAUUAGUUUGACUUCGUUUAAUGUUUCCCAACAACACUGAGGUGCGCUUUAAAAAAAAAAAAAAAAAAAAAAAAAAAAAACUACGUUUAAUUACCAUAACAAAACCUGGCUAGUUGUUGCUAACUAACCAUGUUUUGAUAUUUACAACCGACGUUUUCACAACGGACGGUAAGUCAGGGCUUUAUAACUUCAACAGAAACACUCAAACCGAUGCAGCAAAACGUUUCGUCCACAGAAAAAAGCAGAGAGAGCACUAAAAAGUACACGAUAACGACUCAGCAAUGUCAACAGUUAGCUUGUUUACUAGUUAGCAGAUACCGGGAGCCAGCAGCAGAGGAGACGUGGAGCUGCAGGACCUCAGGUGCAGAAAACCAGUUACCAGUAGCCACACAGAGGUAGAUGAGAGAGUGCAUCAGGGUCUCAGUUCCUGCACCCCUCCAUGUCCCCAUGGUCGCCGGAUUCUCUUAAGAUCCAACCUCUGACCUCCAACAACCUGUCGUCUCAGGUUUCCAUGGAGACAUUUGUCAUCAGGACCAAUGUGGCGUCUUGGUGGGUUAUUUUUAUCUCCCCCGCCGCAGCCUGUGCCAGCUUAGUAUCCUGGAAUGGGGGCUAAAGUCAUGCUGCUGGGGGAAGUUCUGGGUACAUUUAGGGGCUUCCAGAGUGGGGCUUCCCAGCUGUAAUGAUACCAUGCCAAGGGUGUCCUAGCAGGAAUGUGAAUCAUCCAUCCACAUGAGCUGUUAUAAUGCAACAUUAUGUCAGCCGCACUGCAGCCCGGAAAGUCCUUCAACACGUAGCCCUAACAACUAGAGAUGGGGGGAUUUUAGCCGGCUAAAAAUGCUGCCUGUGUCCACUUGGUUUAGCUUGUGGAUGUGUUUCCAUUUCUCUUUGAUAAUGCAGGUGUUAAUGUUUAAGCUACAAUGUCAAAGGUUCUACUGGCCAAGGCACUGCAGGGGUAAAAAAUGAAUAUACACUGCAGUGUGUGUGUGUGUGUGUGUGUGUGUGUAUGUGUGUGUGUAUCUGCUGCUUGUGUGUGAGUGCUUGUUUGUAGAAGUUUGUGUUGCUUUCAUUUAGGGCUUUUAGUUCCUUGUAAGUGGAAUAGUUUCCAUGUGUUGUGGCUUUCCAGAAUACACACUUUUUGGCAACCCACAUAAAGACAUUAGCCCAAAUAAUAUUCUCCAGCGUGUUAGUGAAGGCACUCGGAUAUUUAUGAUAUGCUUGGUCACUGGUGUGAGAAUGUGCAUGUCCAGUGGAAACUUGGAGCCUCUUGUUUAUUGGUUCCUAUCAUGACAAGAGGGAGUGAAAUAUUACUAUCCAGUCAGUUAUGUGGUUUUGUCCACUGUUGUCUAUGGGAACGUACCUGUUUUUGUGGAGAUUGCCUUUUACAUAGAAGCAGAUUAAAAGGGGAUAUGGAAAAUUAAAAGAGAAAGGGAAAUAAUUAUAUUUCAUUAUGCUGAAAUGUUAAAUGGAAAAGCAGGA